rnacentral:pre_miRNA from 1 species
CAAAUACUCCCUCCGUCUGGAAAUACUUGUCAUCAAAAUGGAUAAAAGGAAAUGUAUCUAGACGUAUUUUAGUUUUAGAUACAUCUAUUUUUAUCCAUUUUGAUGACAAGUAUUUUCGGAUGGAGGGAGUAGAAA